CAGCCGCCGCGGUAAAACGUAGGGUGCAAGCGUUAAUCGGAAUUACUGGGCGUAAAGCGUGCGCAGGCGGUUAUAUAAGACAGAUGUGAAAUCCCCGGGCUCAACCUGGGAACUGCAUUUGUGACUGUAUAGCUAGAGUACGGCAGAGGGGGAUGGAAUUCCGCGUGUAGCAGUGAAAUGCGUAGAUAUGCGGAGGAACACCGAUGGCGAAGGCAAUCCCCUGGGCCUGUACUGACGCUCAUGCACGAAAGCGUGGGGAGCAAACAGGAUUAGAUACCCGAGUAGUCCCUGUCUCUUAUAC
rnacentral:rRNA from 1 species